rnacentral:miRNA from 1 species
UGAACAGGUUCGGCGACCUCA